UUUCAAAAUUUGCCUGUUUUUCCAGAAAAUCACUGCUGGAGUGCAUUUGAGGAGGGCUUACCUUCUGUGUAACAGCUGAGAUCAAAGAACCUUUACAUGUGCUUGCUUUUAAGCUUCUCUGAAUCCAGAGCUGGGCAGGGAGAGGCAAGAAGAAGAAGAGGCAACUCUGGAAGACUGGUUGAUCCAGUGCUGGAAAAGUGUUCCCAGGAAGCUGAUAAUACCUGUGAAAUUUGGUCCUACCAUGAAGAAAUGGUUGUUAGUAUGGCACUCCAUCCUUCAGUAAAUAUGUUCCAUGUGGAUAUUUAUAGUCCUGCCUGCUCCCUUCAGUGAGAACAGGACGUUCUUCCUCCCAUAAGCUCUGUGCAGCUGCCAGGAGAGAUGGUGGAAGCCUUUCCUCCCCUCACCUACUGUGGAUGUUCAUUGGUUUCAGUCCCACAGCCCCUGCAAUAUCCAAGGAUCUGUGUAAGUGUUUGAAAGGAUCUAAUUUAAAAAGAUAACUGUCUCUUCUAGGCAGUGCUAGUAUCCGUGGGUGAGUUUGAUUGGCUUGCAGACCAUGUGUUAAUUUCGGGGACAAGAAUAAAAAGAGGAAAAAGCCAGUCCCCA
rnacentral:lncRNA from 1 species